rnacentral:rRNA from 1 species
UCCUACGGGAGGCAGCAGUGGGGAAUCUUGCACAAUGGGCGAAAGCCUGAUGCAGCGAUGCCGCGUGCGGGAAGAAGGCCCUAGGGUUGUAAACCGCUUUCAGGAGGGAAGAAAAUGACGGUACCUCCAGAAGAAGGUGCGGCCAACUACGUGCCAGCAGCCGCGGUGACACGUAGGCACCAAGCGUUAUCCGGAUUUAUUGGGCGUAAAGAGCUCGUAGGCGGUUUGGUAAGUCGGGUGUGAAAACUCUGGGCUCAACCCAGAGAGGCCACUCGAUACUGCUAUGACUAGAGUACGGUAGGGGAGCGGGGAAUUCCUGGUGUAGCGGUGAAAUGCGCAGAUAUCAGGAGGAACACCAGCGGCGAAGGCGCCGCUCUGGGCCGUAACUGACGCUGAGGAGCGAAAGCAUGGGUAGCAAACAGGAUUAGAUACCCUGGUAGUCCAUGCCGUAAACGUUGGGCACUAGGUGUGGGUCUCAACCAACGAGAUCCGCGCCGUCGCUAACGCAUUAAGUGCCCCGCCUGGGGAGUACGGUCGCAAGACUAAAACUCAAAGGAAUUGACGG